UACAGAGGGUGCGAACGUUGUUCGGAAUUACUGGGCGUAAAGCGCGUGUAGGCUGUUCGGAAAGUCGGGUGUGAAAGCCCUGGGCUCAACCUAGGAAGUGCACUCGAAACUCCCGAACUGGAGUCCCGGAGAGGAAGGUGGAAUUCUCGGUGUAGAGGUGAAAUUCGUAGAUAUCGAGAGGAACAUCGGUGGCGAAGGCGGCCUUCUGGACGGUGACUGACGCUGAGACGCGAAAGCGUGGGGAGCAAACAGG
rnacentral:rRNA from 1 species